rnacentral:rRNA from 1 species
CAGAAACUACAACUAGAAGUUAGACGGGGGCCCGGCGACAAGCGGUGGAGUAUGUGGUUAAUUCGAUGCAACGCGAAGAACCUUACCUGGUCUUGACAUCCCGGAGACCCUUAGGAAACUAGGGGUGCUUCCAUCUGGAAGAAUCUGGAGACAGGUGCUGCAUGGCUGUCGUCAGCUCGUGUCGUGAGAUGUUGGGUUAAGUCCCGCAACGAGCGCAACCCUUGCCUUUAGUUGCCAGCAGUUCGGCUGGGCACUCUAAAGGGACUGCCGGUGUUAAACCGGAGGAAGGUGGGGAUGACGUCAAGUCCUCAUGGCCUUUAUGACCAGGGCUACACACGUACUACAAUGGCCGAUACAAAGGGCAGCGACACUGCGAGGUGAAGCCAAUCCCGUAAAAUCGGUCUCAGUCCGGAUUGGAGUCUGCAACUCGACUCCAUGAAGUUGGAAUCGCUAGUAAUCGUGGAUCAGCAUGCCACGGUGAAUACGUUCCCGGGCCUU